rnacentral:sRNA from 2 species
UCACGUUCCCAGAAACUCUAGUUCUUUUACAUAAUUUUUAUAAUCAUGAUUCAUUUCAUGUUUAUGUCAAGAAAUGCACUGGGAUCGAAUCAAAUCAAAGCAAAUAUGUAAUUCAUGGUCUCGCUGACCACUCUAGUUUCAAGGAAUUCUCUUCUAAAUCAGCAGCAAGGCCCCACUCGCUGCAAAGUCCGUGUAGGUAGUGGGUCCCGCUCGUCAUCCUGUUAAAGCGGUUACUGCGUGUCAUUAUCCUGAGAUCUCGACCACGUAGGCCAAAUUUAUACCAAGCGAGAUCUUUAAAACUUGCGGUUAAAUCUUACUACCCUUUUUUAAACAGAUAAAUCACUGUGUGCAUUUUGUAAGAAAACGUGGUUUAAAUACAUCUAUUUUUCAUUUAUCAUGAAUUCAGUUUUUUCAACCAUUUUCAAUCUGCUUAAGAUUGUCAUAUACUUGAUUUCAGCAACCAGCAGUACUACUAUAUCAUCAGAGUUAAACAAUAUUAUUAAAAAAGAAGUAUAUGACAUGCUUUACAGUGUAGAAAUUGAUACCAAUGGGAUUUUACAUCUAGCUGAUGAUGGUAUAUUGCGAUCAUUUGAUGAAACUGGCAAUGUUCUUGAUUAUCGAAGAUUAAAUAAUACUCAUUUGAGAACUGUUGCUGGCUUGUAUUCAAAAGAUAUUAACAAUCAUUUAUUAAAUAUAUGGAAUAAUAUUGAUAGUUUUCAGGUUGAAGAGAAGGCAAUUUGGCAUCCAUCUACGGAUCUUUAUCCUCUCCCACU